UGGGGAAUAUUGGACAAUGGGCGAAAGCCUGAUCCAGCCAUGCCGCGUGUGUGAAGAAGGUCUUCGGAUUGUAAAGCACUUUAAGGUGGGAGGAAGGGCAGUAAGCGAAUACCUUGCUGUUUUGACGUUACCGCCAGAAUAAGCACCGGCUAACUCUGUGCCAGCAGCCGCGGUAAUACAGAGGGGGCAAGCGUUAAUCGGAAUUACUGGGCGUAAAGCGCGCGUAGGUGGUUCGUUAAGUUGAAUGUGAAAGCCCCGGGCUCAACCUGGGAACUGCAUCCAAAACUGGCGAGCUAGAGUAGGGCAGAGGGUGGUGGAAUUUCCUGUGUAGCGGUGAAAUGCGUAGAUAUAGGAAGGAACACCAGUGGCGAAGGCGACCACCUGGGCUCAUACUGACACUGAGGUGCGAAAGCGUGGGGAGCAAACAGG
rnacentral:rRNA from 1 species